UCGUCUUCCCGGAGUCGGGUUGUUUGGGAUUGCAGCCCAAAGCGGGUGGUAAACUCCAUCUAAGGCUAAAUACGGUCACGAGACCGAUAGCGAACAAGUACCGUGAGGGAAAGUUGAAAAGCACUUUGGAGAGAGAGUUAAAAAGUACGUGAAACCGUCGAGAGGCAAACGGGAGGGCCUGUCGGGUCGUUCGGUCGCUUUCAGGCGGGCCGGAGACCGGGUCGCGGGAUCGGGGACCUUCGCGGGCCUCGACUCGCGUCGCCGGCCGACGGCUCGGCGCACUAGCGUCGGACGAGGGCCGCGACCGGCUGGGCGGCGGGCAAACGGCUCCGGGCAAGGUAACCCCGCUUCGGCGGGGUGCUACAGGCCCGGUGCGCGCAAGGGUCGCCGCCCGGUCGAGGAGAGAUGCGCGCCGCACCUGCCCCGUUCGCGGGGCCGGGGAAGCCGUUCGAGCAGCGUCGUGUCGCGGUCCGGGACUGUCCUCAGUCCCGGGUCGUCUCGGCGCGGUUCCGAGCGGUCGCUCCCUCGCGAGGUGCCGCGGGUCAGCGGCUGACGCCAGCCACCUUCCCGACCCGUCUUGAAACACGGACCAAGGAGUCUAACAUGUGCGCGAGCCGCGGGGCAGUACGAAACUCGUAAGGCGAAAUGAAGGUGAACGCCGGCGCGGUCCGGCGGAGGUUGGAUCCCGUCCCGUCGGGGCGGGCGCACUACCGGCCGAUCUUCUCCGCCCUGUCGGCGAGGUCGAGCGAGAGCGUGCAAGUCGGGACCCGAAAGAUGGUGAACUAUGCCUGAGGAGGUUGAAGCCAGAGGAAACUCUGGUGGAGGACCGUAGCGAUUCUGACGUGCAAAUCGAUCGUCAAAUUUGGGUAUAGGGGCGAAAGACUAAUCGAACCGUCUAGUAGCUGGUUCCCUUCGAAGUUUCCCUCAGGAUAGCUGGCGCUCUGUCGCAGUUUUAUCUGGUAAAGCGAAUGAUUAGAGGUCUUGGGGGCGAAACGCCCUCAACCUAUUCUCAAACUUUAAAUUGGUAAGAAGCCCGACUCGCUCGUUUGGAGCCGGGCAUGGAAUGCGAGUGCCAAGUGGGCCACUCUUGGUAAGCAGGACUGGCGAUGCGGGAUGAACCGAACGCCGGGUUAAGGCGCCCGACGCGACGCUCAUCAGAGCCCACAAAAGGUGUUGGUUGAUAUAGACAGCAGGACGGUGGCCAUGGAAGUCGGAAACCGCUAAGGAGUGUGUAACAACUCACCUGCCGAAUCAAUCAGCCCUGAAAAUGGAUGGCGCUGGAGCGUC
rnacentral:ncRNA from 1 species